rnacentral:rRNA from 1 species
GACGAACGCUGGCGGCGUGCUUAACACAUGCAAGUCGAGCGGAGCGGCGAACGGGUGAGUAACGCGUGAGUAACUGCCCCCCUCUCUGGGAUAACAGUUGGAAACGGCUGCUAAUACCGGAUAGUGGGGGAUGAUUCGCGUCCUAUCAGCUUGUUGGUGGGGUAGUGGCCUACCAAGGCGACGACGGGUAGCCGGCCUGAGAGGGCGACCGGCCAAAGUGAGCAGAGAAACGGCCCAAACUCCAACGGGAGGCAGCAGUGGAGAAUAUUGCACAAUAGGGGAAACCCUGAUGCAGCAACGCCGCGGGCGGGAUGAAGGCCUUCAGGUUGUAAACCGCUUUCAGCGAUGACGCGGUAGUGGAAGAAGAAGCACCGGCUAACUACGUGCCAGCAGCCGCGGUAAUUC